GAUGAACGCUGGCGGCGUGCCUAAUACAUGCAAGUCGAGCGAACAGACGAGGAGCUUGCUCCUCUGACGUUAGCGGCGGACGGGUGAGUAACACGUGGAUAACCUACCUAUAAGACUGGGAUAACUUCGGGAAACCGGAGCUAAUACCGGAUAAUAUAUUGAACCGCAUGGUUCAAUAGUGAAAGACGGUUUUGCUGUCACUUAUAGAUGGAUCCGCGCCGCAUUAGCUAGUUGGUAAGGUAACGGCUUACCAAGGCAACGAUGCGUAGCCGACCUGAGAGGGUGAUCGGCCACACUGGAACUGAGACACGGUCCAGACUCCUACGGGAGGCAGCAGUAGGGAAUCUUCCGCAAUGGGCGAAAUCCUGACGGAGCAACGCCGCGUGAGUGAUGAAGGUCUUCGGAUCGUAAAACUCUGUUAUUAGGGAAGAACAAAUGUGUAAGUAACUGUGCACGUCUUGACGGUACCUAAUCAGAAAGCCACGGCUAACUACGUG
rnacentral:rRNA from 1 species